UAGACUGUUUUUAUCUGUAAUUGUUUUUAUCUUUUACCACAUUCAGAGCAGCAAUUUUCUUCUGUAUGAAUUCUUGUGUGUUCAGAUUCUCAUUUUUCAUCACACUCAGGACAGUGGACAAAAAAAUGCUCACUUCCUACAAUUAUGUUGUGUUGAUGUGAAUCGUUCAUAUGAUCAAAUUUAGCCAACUGCAU